rnacentral:rRNA from 1 species
AGCGUAGACGGCGAAGCAAGUCUGGAGUGAAAACCCAGGGCUCAACCCUGGGACUGCUUUGGAAACUGUUUUGCUAGAGUGUCGGAGAGGUAAGUGGAAUUCCUAGUGUAGCGGUGAAAUGCAUAGAUAUUAGGAGGAACACCAGUGGCGAAGGCGGCUUACUGGACGAUAACUGACGUUGAGGCUCGAAAGCGUGGGGAGCAAACA